rnacentral:lncRNA from 1 species
ACCACAUUGUCCUCACAGUACUGCCGGAUCAAGAUCAAUCUGAUGAAGCUCAAGAAAAGAUGGUGUACAUCUAUCAUUCCUUAAAGAAUAGUAGAGAGACACACAUGAUGGGAAAUGAGGAGGAAACAGAGGUUUGUUUCAACUGAAAACAAAUGCCUAUCCUGUGACUUGGGUGGUGGUUGGGAAGAAUUGAUUAUUUUUGAUUUACAGGUAAUAUGCUUUUUAUGGCUGCACUGUGGACUUAACCAUUUUGCACUACUCACAGAGCUCCUGCAUGGGGAUGAUUAAGUCAGACAUUUCUGUGAUACAUGCACACCAGUUUUAAGACAUACUAGCUGGGACCUGUAGCCUUAUAGGAAUGGUAUAAUGUAAAACAUUUCAAAUUACUAAUAUCACUUACUACAUAAAUUAGGAUGCCUUUUAUAUAGAAGUUGGCAUCUUUUAUGUUAUCUAAUUGUAGUGUGUCUAAAAUACUCAUGAGGGGUAUCAAAAAUAAUGAUGUAUGGAGAAUAAAUUUACAGGAAAAUGCUACUUCAAUGACAUAAGUAGUAUACAUAUAUUUUGACAAAUAAAUUUAUCCUUUCAGUUUCA